rnacentral:rRNA from 1 species
UACGUAGGGAGCAAGCGUUAUCCGGAUUUACUGGGUGUAAAGGGCGCGUAGGCGGGAUGGCAAGUCAGAUGUGAAAUCCAGGGGCUCAACCCCUGAACUGCAUUUGAAGCUGUCGUUCUUGAGUACUGGAAAGGUUGACGGAAUUCCUAGUGUAGCGGUGAAAUGCGUAGAUAUUAGGAGGAACACCAGUGGCGAAGGCGGUCAACUGGACAGCAACUGACGCUGAGGCGCGAAAGCGUGGGGAGCAAACAGG